rnacentral:rRNA from 1 species
CCUACGGGUGGCAGCAGUGAGGAAUAUUGGUCAAUGGGCGGAAGCCUGAACCAGCCAAGUAGCGUGCGGGAUGAAGGCCCUACGGGUCGUCAACCGCUUUUGCACGGGGAUAACACCCUCCACUUGUGGAGGUCUGCAGGUACCGUGCGAAUAAGGGCCGGCUAAUUCCGUGCCAGCAGCCGCGGUAAUACGGAAGGCCCGAGCGUUAUCCGGUUUCAUUGGGCUUAAAGGGAGCGUAGGCGGGCGUUCAAGUCCGCUGGAAAAGCGCGCGGCUCAACCGCGCCCCGCAGUUGAAACGGGACGCUUUGAGGUCACAACAGGCAGGCGGAAUUCGUGGUGUAGCGGUGAAAUGCAUAGAUAUCACGAGGAACCCCGAUUGCGAAGGCAACCUGCCGGGGUGCGACUGACGCUGAGGCUCGAAGGUGCGGGUAUCAAACAGGAGUAGAUACCCUGGUAGUC